CCAUGGGCAGGUUGAAGGUUGGGUAACACUAACUGGAGGACCGAACCGACUAAUGUUGAAAAAUUAGCGGAUGACUUGUGGCUGGGGGUGAAAGGCCAAUCAAACCGGGAGAUAGCUGGUUCUCCCCGAAAGCUAUUUAGGUAGCGCCUCGUGAAUUCAUCUCCGGGGGUAGAGCACUGUUUCGGCAAGGGGGUCAUCCCGACUUACCAACCCGAUGCAAACUGCGAAUACCGGAGAAUGUUAUCACGGGAGACACACGGCGGGUGCUAACGUCCGUCGUGAAGAGGGAAACAACCCAGACCGCCAGCUAAGGUCCCAAAGUCAUGGUUAAGUGGGAAACGAUGUGGGAAGGCCCAGACAGCCAGGAUGUUGGCUUAGAAGCAGCCAUCAUUUAAAGAAAGCGUAAUAGCUCACUGGUCGAGUCGGCCUGCGCGGAAGAUGUAACGGGGCUAAACCAUGCACCGAAGCUGCGGCAGCGACGCUUAUGCGUUGUUGGGUAGGGGAGCGUUCUGUAAGCCUGUGAAGGUGUGCUGUGAGGCAUGCUGGAGGUAUCAGAAGUGCGAAUGCUGACAUAAGUAACGAUAAAGCGGGUGAAAAGCCCGCUCGCCGGAAGACCAAGGGUUCCUGUCCAACGUUAAUCGGGGCAGGGUGAGUCGACCCCUAAGGCGAGGCCGAAAGGCGUAGUCGAUGGGAAACAGGUUAAUAUUCCUGUACUUGGUGUUACUGCGAAGGGGGGACGGAGAAGGCUAUGUUGGCCGGGCGACGGUUGUCCCGGUUUAAGCGUGUAGGCUGGUUUUCCAGGCAAAUCCGGAAAAUCAAGGCUGAGGCGUGAUGACGAGGCACUACGGUGCUGAAGCAACAAAUGCCCUGCUUCCAGGAAAAGCCUCUAAGCAUCAGGUAA
rnacentral:rRNA from 1 species